GGGAAUUCGAUUUUCCGGUUGAUCCUGCCGGAGGCCACUGCUAUUGGGGUUCGGCUAAGCCAUGCGAGCGGAGGGCGCGGUCGAAAGAUCGUGGCCCCGCACACGGCUCAGCAACGCGUAGUCAACCUACCCUUGGGACGGGGACAAGCUCGGGAAACUGAGGCUAAUCCCCGAUAGGCGAGGGACGCUGGGAUGCCCUCUCGCCCAAAGCUCCGGCGCCCAAGGAUGGGACUGCGGCCUAUCAGGCUGUUGGUGGUGUAACGGACCACCAAACCUACGACGGGUACGGGCGAUGGGAGUCGGAGCCCGGAGAUGGGGACUGAGACAAGGCCCCAGGCCCUACGGGGCGCAGCAGGCGCGAAAACUCCGCAAUGCGCGCAAGCGUGACGGGGGGAUCCCAAGUGCCGUUGGUCUUUUGAUCGACGGCUUUUAGGAAGUUUAAGAAGCUUCCAGAAUAAGGGCUGGGUAAGACUGGUGCCAGCCGCCGCGGUAACACCAGCAGCCCAAGUGGUGGCCACGAUUAUUGGGCCUAAAGCGCUCGUAGCCGGGCCAGCAAGUCCCUUGUGAAAUCGGGCCGCCUAACGGUUCGGCGUGCAAGGGAUACUGUCGGUCUCGAGGCCGGGAGAGGUCGGAGGUACUCCUGGGGUAGCGGUGAAAUGCUCUAAUCCUGGGGGGACCACCAGUGGCGAAGGCGUCCGACCAGAACGGUCCUGACGGUGAGGGGCGAAGGCUAGGGGAGCGAACGGGAUUAGAUACCCCGGUAGUCCUAGCUGUAAAGCAUGCGGGCCAGGUGUCUAACGCUCCUU
rnacentral:rRNA from 1 species